rnacentral:rRNA from 1 species
GGAAGGUGGGGACGACGUCAAAUCAUCAUGCCCCUUAUGAUCUGGGCUACACACGUACUACAAUGGCCAUCAACAGAGGGAAGCAAAACCGCGAGGCAGAGCAAACCCCUAAAAAUGGUCUCAGUUCGGAUCGCAGGCUGAAACCCGCCUGCGUGAAGCUGGAAUUGCUAGUAAUCGCGGAUCAUCAUGCCGCGGUGAAUACGUUCCCGGGCCUUGUACACACCGCCCGUCACACCAUGGGAGCCGGUAAUACCCGAAGUCGGUAGUCUAACCGCAAGGAGGACGCCGCCGAAGGUAGGAUUGGCGACUGGGGUGAAGUCGUAACAAGGUAGCCGUAUCGGAAGGUGCGGCU